GACGAACGCUGGCGGCGUGCUUAACACAUGCAAGUCGAACGGGUCUGCCCUGUUUUUUGCGGGGUGGGUCAGUGGCGAACGGGUGAGUAACACGUGAGUAACCUGCCCCUCACUUCUGGAUAACCGCUUGAAAGGGUGGCUAAUACGGGGUGUUCUGGCUGUGCCGCAUGGUGUGGCUGGGAAAGAUUCACUUUUGUGGUGUUUUGGUGGGGGAUGGGCUCGCGGCCUAUCAGCUUGUUGGUGGGGUGAUGGCCUGCCAAGGCUUUGACGGGUAGCCGGCCUGGGAGGGUGGGCGGUCACACUGGGACUGAGAUACGGCCCAGACUCCGGCGGGAGGCAGCAGUGGGGGGUAUUGCACAAUGGGCGGAAGCCUGAUGCAGCGGCGUCGCGUGAGGGAUGGAGGCCUUCGGGUUGUGAACCUCUUUCGCCGGUGAAGAAGGUCCUGCUCUUUGUGGUGGGGUUGACGGUAGCCGGGUUAUGAAGCGCCGGCUAACUACGUG
rnacentral:rRNA from 1 species